GCUAUUCUGAAAGCCCACCAGUCCUGAACUCCACGUUUCCCAUCACGCUAUAUUUGAUCAGCGCUUUCUUCUCUCAAGCCGUCUCCUACAAGCUCAGUCCUGCCUUUCCUAGCAAGCGACAAAUUUACCUUCUUGUUUCAAGUACUGGAGUUGAUCCCUAACAAACACCUCACACACUAUGCUCCGUCUCAGUAUCUACUUCAGAGAUCCCAGUCUGCAGCCAGACAUGGUCAUCAUAAUUUCUCACUGGAACAUUUGUUUGCAUUUUCUUUUUUCCAGACUCUAAGGAGCCCCAAGGACUCUAAGGACUGAGGAGGGCGAAUCCUGAGCUGCCAGGACCCCUAUUCUUUUUACAACCCAAAGAAAACUUGAAAGAAAAUGAAGAACUUUGUCCUUAGAAACAAGCCAUCUGUUACAGAGCGGAGCAAACCAGCCAGGCCUCUGUGAGCCUCACAUCACUUCUGCCAGGCGCUGGCUGGGCAGCCUCUGUUGCAAGCUGUCUAGUCUCUAAUUCCUGUAACUCAGGAACAAUAUCAACUGGUUGAUGAAAUGUCUGGAAGAGUCCAGGGCAAAGUAAAUGCAGCAACAAACUCCAACUUAGCUCUGGCCAGGAGUGGCUCUGCAAAUUCUUUCUCCUUCUGGGACAGGCUGGAGGAGAGAGUUAAACCAGAGGAAAGCAAGAUUUUAGACACGUGCGAAAGGGUCCUCAGUCCCUGCUCCUCUCUCAGGCUGAGACUUUAGAAUCCCAGAAACCACAAUGAAGUCUCUUGCCCGUGGUUCCCCCACCCUCCCUCUGCGUCCUAGCAACCCUGAUGCUUCCUCAUGUGGCCCUCUGAUGACAGGGAGUGCCUUGCAGAUCAACAAGUGGAAACCAAAAGCAAGGCUGAAGCCAGUGGAAAGAUGAAGGCAGGGACUGGUUAUUCCCUCUCCUGACACAUGGCCUGAAGGAGCCUUCCAAAAUACAGACACAACCUGGGAAAGGCAGAAAACAUCCUGCGUUGAUUGAGAAAUCCCUAAAAUCAAUGAGAUAAUCCUGAACUGAUCACGAAUAAACUGACAUGAAUGUAAAUUGGCUGAGAUUGAGUUUUUACCACCCACUAGAAUGCAGGCCUGAAACAGAAACUAGUAAAAGUAAAGAACAAUUAUAUUUCCUGUACCUGUGAACUUGUAGACUGCAAUAUGGAUACAUGGAUGGAUAGAAGAAAGAUUUGGUGUAGAAAUAAAGAAAGAACGCAG
ensembl:lncRNA